rnacentral:rRNA from 1 species
GAUGAACGCUGGCGGCGUGCUUAACACAUGCAAGUCGAACGGAAAGGCUCCUGCUUGCAGGGGUACUCGAGUGGCGAACGGGUGAGUAACACGUGGGUGAUCUGCCCUGCACUUCGGGAUAAGCCUGGGAAACUGGGUCUAAUACCGGAUAGGACGAUGGUUUGGAUGCCAUUGUGGAAAGUUUUUCGGUGUGGGAUGAGCUCGCGGCCUAUCAGCUUGUUGGUGGGGUAAUGGCUUACCAAGGCGUCGACGGGUAGCCGGCCUGAGAGGGUGUACGGCCACAUUGGGACUGAGAUACGGCCCAGACUCCUACGGGAGGCAGCAGUGGGGAAUAUUGCACAAUGGGCGCAAGCCUGAUGCAGCGACGCCGCGUGGGGGAUGACGGCCUUCGGGUGGUAAACUCCUUUCGCUAGGGACGAAGCGCAAGUGACGGUACCUGGAGAAGAAGCACCGGCUAACUACGUG